GCGGAUGUAGCUCAAUUGGUAGAGUGCUAAGCUUUGCAUAGAGGGUCGGGGUUCAACUCCUUGCAUCUCCA
rnacentral:tRNA from 1 species